rnacentral:rRNA from 1 species
AACGAACGCUGGCGGCAUGCCUAACACAUGCAAGUCGAACGAGACCUUCGGGUCUAGCGGCGCACGGGUGCGUAACGCGUGGGAACCUGCCCUUAGGUUCGGAAUAACUCCCCGAAAGGGGUGCUAAUACCGGAUAAUGUCUUCGGACCAAAGAUUUAUCGCCUUUGGAUGGGCCCGCGUUGGAUUAGCUAGUUGGUAGGGUAAAAGCCUACCAAGGCGACGAUCCAUAGCUGGUCUGAGAGGAUGAUCAGCCACACUGGGACUGAGACACGGCCCAGACUCCUACGGGAGGCAGCAGUGGGGAAUAUUGGACAAUGGGCGAAAGCCUGAUCCAGCAAUGCCGCGUGAGUGAUGAAGGCCUUAGGGUUGUAAAGCUCUUUUACACGGGAUGAUAAUGACAGUACCGGGAGAAUAAGCUCCGGCUAACUCCGUG